rnacentral:lncRNA from 1 species
AUGAAGAGAAUUUAUGACAGCAAAACUGGGAUCCUAAUGUUCUAAGUCCUUUUUUAUCUAUUUUCCUUGUUGCAGUGACUUCUUUUAGGUUGUUUAGGAGCAGCCUACCUACUAUUAGCUUGCUGGUGUUCAGCACAUACACAUGGUCUAGACACAUUUGAAGUGCUGGUUUUAGCAGCAACUCAUCAGAGGGAAAGGUGUUAAAUCAUCUUGAAGAUUUUGGUUUCUUUAGGCCUAAGCGUGUGACUUUCACAGCUCUGUGUCUCUGGCAUUGCAUUAAGUAUUGUUGCUCAUUUUGUGGUAUGGAGAACCAUCUAAGAAUGUUGAUAUUAAGAUUUUCUCUCCCUCUCUAGAUACAGAUAACAGUACUGUAGUCUCAAAUAGUCUGGAUCUGCUAUAGGAAAGUCAGUGAAAUCACUUGUGUAACAGAAUGGCUGUUAAAUUUCAAAAUAUUUGUCAGCUUCUGCCAUCUGAUGAUCAUCUUGACUCUAGAGAAAGCUCCAUUCCUCCCUCCAAAGAAAACCACCAAAAAACAAGAGAAGCUAUAUCUGUUCAGCUCAGCAAGUCUUCUAAAGGUGUCUCUGUCUAG